UACGUAGGGUGCAAGCGUUAAUCGGAAUUACUGGGCGUAAAGCGUGCGCAGGCGGUUUUGUAAGUCUGACGUGAAAUCCCCGGGCUCAACCUGGGAAUUGCGUUGGAGACUGCAAGGCUAGAAUCUGGCAGAGGGGGGUAGAAUUCCACGUGUAGCAGUGAAAUGCGUAGAGAUGUGGAGGAACUCCGAUGGCGAAGGCAGCCCCCUGGGUCAAGAUUGACGCUCAUGCACGAAAGCGUGGGGAGCAAACAGG
rnacentral:rRNA from 1 species